rnacentral:rRNA from 1 species
AUUCCAGCUCCAAUAGCGUAUAUUAAAGUUGUUGUGGUUAAAAGGCUCGUAGUUGGAUCUCAACAGCCUUGAAGCGGUUAACUUUGUAGUUUUACUGCUUUAUAGGCUGUGCUUUUGCUGGAGGUUUAGGGGUGCUCUUGAUCGAGUGUCUCUGGAUGCCAGCAGGUUUACUUUGAAAAAAUUAGAGUGCUCAAAGCAGGCUAAAAUGCCUGAAUAUUCGUGCAUGGAAUAAUAGAAUAGGAUGUCGAUCCUAUUUUGUUGGUUUUCGGGACUCGACAUAAUGAUAAAUAGGGACAGUCGGGGGCAUUUGUAUUCAAACGACAGAGGUGAAAUUCUUGGACCGUUUGAAGACAAACUACUGCGAAAGCAUUUGCCAAGAAUGUUUUCAUCA